GACGAACGCUGGCGGCGUGCUUAACACAUGCAAGUCGAACGGAAAGGCCCUGCUUGCAGGGUACUCGAGUGGCGAACGGGUGAGUAACACGUGGGUGAUCUGCCCUGCACUUCGGGAUAAGCCUGGGAAACUGGGUCUAAUACCGGAUAGGAGCCAUUUUUAGUGUGAUGGUUGGAAUGUUUUUUCGGUGUAGGAUGAGCUCGCGGCCUAUCAGCUUGUUGGUGGGGUAAUGGCCUACCAAGGCGGCGACGGGUAGCCGGCCUGAGAGGGUGGACGGCCACAUUGGGACUGAGAUACGGCCCAGACUCCUACGGGAGGCAGCGGUGGGGAAUAUUGCACAAUGGGCGCAAGCCUGAUGCAGCGACGCCGCGUGGGGGAUGACGGCCUUCGGGUUGUAAACUCCUUUCGCUAGGGACGAAGCUUUUUGUGACGGUACCUAGAUAAGAAGCACCGGCUAACUACGUG
rnacentral:rRNA from 1 species